rnacentral:rRNA from 1 species
AGAGUUUGAUCAUGGCUCAGAUUGAACGCUGGCGGCAUGCUUUACACAUGCAAGUCGAGCGGCAGCGCGGGGGCAACCCUGGCGGCGAGCGGCGAACGGGUGAGUAAUGCAUCGGAACGUGUCCGGGAGUGGGGGAUAACGCCGCGAAAGCGGCGCUAAUACCGCAUAUUCUCUGCGGAGGAAAGCGGGGGACCUGAAAGGGCCUCGUGCUUUCGGGGCGGCCGAUGUCCGAUUAGGUUGUUGGUGGGGUAAUGGCCUACCAAGCCUGCGAUCGGUAGCUGGUCUGAGAGGAUGAUCAGCCACACUGGGACUGAGACACGGCCCAGACUCCUACGGGAGGCAGCAGUGGGGAAUUUUGGACAAUGGGGGCAACCCUGAUCCAGCCAUGCCGCGUGCGGGAAGAAGGCCUUCGGGUUGUAAACCGCUUUUAGCCGGGAAGAAAAGGCCACUCUUAAUACGGGUGGUUAUUGACGGUACCGGCGGAAUCAGCACCGGCUAACUACGUGCCAGCAGCCGCGGUAAUACGUAGGGUGCGAGCGUUAAUCGGAAUUACUGGGCGUAAAGCGUGCGCAGGCGGUUCGUUGUGUCUGUGGUGAAAGCCCCGGGCUUAACCUGGGAAUGGCCAUGGAAACUGGCGAGCUGGAGUGUGGCAGAGGGGGGUGGAAUUCCGCGUGUAGCAGUGAAAUGCGUAGAGAUGCGG